rnacentral:rRNA from 1 species
GAUGAACGCUGGCGGCGUGCCUAAUACAUGCAAGUCGAGCGAACAGAUGAGGAGCUUGCUCCUCUGACGUUAGCGGCGGACGGGUGAGUAACACGUGGAUAACCUACCUAUAAGACUGGGAUAACUUCGGGAAACCGGAGCUAAUACCGGAUAAUAUAUUGAACCGCAUGGUUCAAUAGUGAAAGACGGUUUUGCUGUCACUUAUAGAUGGAUCCGCGCCGCAUUAGCUAGUUGGUAAGGUAACGGCUUACCAAGGCAACGAUGCGUAGCCGACCUGAGAGGGUGGUCGGCCACACUGGAACUGAGACACGGUCCAGACUCCUACGGGAGGCAGCAGUAGGGAAUCUUCCGCAAUGGGCGAAAGCCUGACGGAGCAACGCCGCGUGAGUGAUGAAGGUCUUCGGAUCGUAAAACUCUGUUAUUCGGGAAGAACAAAUGUGUAAGUAACUAUGCACGUCUUGACGGUACCUAAUCAGAAAGCCACGGCUAACUACGUG